rnacentral:rRNA from 1 species
AACAGCUCAAAUUUGAAAUCUGACCUUGCGGUCCGAGUUGUAAUUUGCAGAGGAAGCCUCGGGUGCGGUACCGGUCUAAGUUCCUUGGAACAGGAUGUCAUAGAGGGUGAGAAUCCCGUAUGCGAUCGGCGGCCAACCCCGUGUGAGGCCCCUUCGACGAGUCGAGUUGUUUGGGAAUGCAGCUCAAAAUGGGUGGUAAAUUUCAUCUAAAGCUAAAUACCGGCCAGAGACCGAUAGCGCACAAGUAGAGUGAUCGAAAGAUGAAAAGCACUUUGGAAAGAGAGUCAAACAGUACGUGAAAUUGUUGAAAGGGAAGCGCUUGCAACCAGACUUGCCCGUGGACGAUCAGCCGUCCCUUUGGGCCGGUGCACUCGUCCACGGUCAGGCCAGCAUCGGUUUUGGGCGGCCGGAUAAAGGCCCCGGGAAUGUGGCUCCCUCCGGGGAGUGUUAUAGCCCGGGCCGGAAUAUGGCUAGCUGGGACCGAGGACCGCGCUUCGGCUAGGAUGCUGGCGUAAUGGUUGCCAGCGACCCGUCUUGAAACACGGACCAAGGAGUCUAACAUCUAUGCGAGUGUUUGGGUGUCAAACCCAUACGCGUAAUGAAAGUGAACGGAGGUGGGAAUCUUUUGGACGCACCAUCGACCGAUCCUGAUGUCUUCGGAUGGAUUUGAGUAGGAGCAUAGCUGUUGGGACCCGAAAGAUGGUGAACUAUGCGUGAAUAGGGUGAAGCCAGAGGAAACUCUGGUGGAGGCUCGCAGCGGUUCUGACGUGCAAAUCGAUCGUCAAAUUUGCGUAUAGGGGCGAAAGACCAAUCGAACUAUCUAGUAGCUGGUUCCUGCCGAAGUUUCCCUCAGGAUAGCAGUAACGUUUUCAGUUUUAUGAGGUAAAGCGAAUGAUUAGAGGCCUUGGGGUUGAAACAACCUUAACCUAUUCUCAAACUUUAAAUAUGUAAGAAGUCCUUGUUACUUUGUUGAACGUGGACAUUUGAAUGCACCGUUACUAGUGGGCCAUUUUUGGUAAGCAGAACUGGCGAUGCGGGAUGAACCGAACGUGAGGUUAAGGUGCCGGAAUAUACGCUCAUCAGAUACCACAAAAGGUGUUAAUUCAUCCAGACAGCCGGACGGUGGCCAUGGAAGUCGGAACCCGCUAAGGAUCGUGUAAUAACGCACCGGUAUAAUGAACUAGCCCUGAAAAUGGAUGGCGCUUAAGCGUAUUACCUAUACCUCGCCGCCG